rnacentral:rRNA from 1 species
UCCGUAGGGGGCAAGCGUUGUCCGGAUUUAUUGGGCGUAAAGAGCGUGUAGGCGGCCUGAAAGGUCAGCUGUGAAAACUCGAGGCUCAACCUCGAGACGUCGGUUGAAACCAUCUGGCUAGAGUCCGGAAGAGGAGUGUGGAAUUCCCGGUGUAGCGGUGAAAUGCGCAGAUAUCGGGAAGAACACCCGUGGCGAAGGCGGCACUCUGGGACGGUACUGACGCUGAGACGCGAAAGCGUGGGGAGCGAACAGG